rnacentral:lncRNA from 1 species
GUGUUAAAGGGUUUCUUUUUCUUUUUUUUUUGGUUCACUUCUUCGGUUCUGUUUAUUGUUUAUAUAUAAUAUAUAAUAAUAGGUUUUUCAAUACCUGUUUUGCUGAUACAAUAAUAUAUUUAUAUUACACGCAUAUUAAGCAUAUAUAAAUGAAAAUUAUAGGCUUAGCUUAAUAAUUAAGCUUUGCCUAUAAUAAAAUGAAUAGACCACAUCAAAAAUUAAAUAGAUAUGUAAAAAGCUUUAUAUAUAUAUAUAGUUUUAUAUGUACAAAAUUCGUAACACAUAUAUACAUAGAGUUUUUUCUUCCAAUGUCUACAAACGAUACAAAUGAUCAUCAUUGUUUGGAAUAAGAGUUUCGUUGCCGUUGAAGUGAAACUCGCCGUUUGGAUUGAUCACUUGGUCGCGGAGAAAUCCUGCUAUCGUCUCUUGGAUAGCUUUGAUUCGGUCUUGUUGUAGGACCUUUUCCCUCAGCCAUUCCGUCUUUAAUUUGAAAUAAAUAAAAAAGGUAUUAGUUAUCUAAGUUAUUCAAUAUAAUUCAGGAGAUAAUGAAAAGAGACAUGUAACGUACUCUGAGCGUCUCUGUGGGUGUUUGAUUGACUUGUGCCAUCAUGAAUUUGCACACGUAAUAUGCACAUAGAUUGUUCCCCCCUUCUUGUCUUAAACACCACUGUACGAUAUAUAUAUAUAUAAAUAUUCACGACCACGACAAUAAGAAGGCUAAAAGUUAGCGAAAUUUUGUUAGCUAGUAGAACUUACUUGUGGAUGUAUUAUGUUAAGCGGCGCUUUACAUCGACUGAGAUGUUUACGGUCAAUGAAUCUUUCUCAAACCCUAUACACAGCCAUUGUAUAUCGUGAACUAAUAAUUACAGAGUCAUAUUAUGAUAUUUUUGUAGCUGAGAUCGACAUUACGUACCUUUGAAUAAUGUUUACCAUUUGUUGAUAAUUUUCUUGUGGUUU